UCCGCUGACGAGUGGCGCACGGGUGAGUAACGCGUAUGCAAUCUGCCUUUAACUGAGAGAUAGCCCAGAGAAAUUUGGAUUAAUACCUCAUAAUAUUGUGAUUUGGCAUCACUUCACAAUUAAAGCUUCGGCGGUUAAAGAUGAGCAUGCGUCCUAUUAGCUUGUUGGUAAGGUAACGGCUUACCAAGGCAACGAUAGGUAGGGGGCCUGAAAGGGUGAUCCCCCACACUGGUACUGAGACACGGACCAGACUCCUACGGGAGGCAGCAGUGAGGAAUAUUGCGCAAUGGAGGAAACUCUGACGCAGCCAUGCCGCGUGCAGGAAGACGGCCCUACGGGUUGUAAACUGCUUUUAUAUAGGAAGAAACACCGAUACGUGUAUCGGCUUGACGGUACUAUAUGAAUAAGGACCGGCUAACUCCGUGCCAGCAGCCGCGGUAAUACGGAGGGUCCAAGCGUUAUCCGGAUUUAUUAGGUUUAAAGGGUCCGCAGGCGGGAUUUUAAGUCAGUGGUGAAAGCCUACAGCUCAACUGUAGAACUGCCAUUGAUACUGAAAUUCUUGAGUGUGGUUGAAGUGGGCGGAACAUGUCAUGUAGCGGUGAAAUGCAUAGAUAUGACAUAGAACACCAAUUGCGAAGGCAGCUCACUAAGCCAUUACUGACGCUGAGGGACGAAAGCGUGGGGAGCGAACAGGAUUAGAUACCCUGGUAGUCCACGCCGUAAACGAUGAUCACUCGUUGCUAGCGAUACACUGUUAGUGACCAAGCGAAA
rnacentral:rRNA from 1 species